GGGUUGUGAGGUUAAGCGACUAAGCGUACACGGUGGAUGCCCUGGCAGUCAGAGGCGAUGAAGGACGUGCUAAUCUGCGAUAAGCGUCGGUAAGGUGAUAUGAACCGUUAUAACCGGCGAUUUCCGAAUGGGGAAACCCAGUGUGAUUCGUCACACUAUCAUUAACUGAAUCCAUAGGUUAAUGAGGCGAACCGGGGGAACUGAAACAUCUAAGUACCCCGAGGAAAAGAAAUCAACCGAGAUUCCCCCAGUAGCGGCGAGCGAACGGGGAGCAGCCCAGAGCCUGAAUCAGUGUGUGUGUUAGUGGAAGCGUCUGGAAAGGCGCGCGAUACAGGGUGACAGCCCCGUACACAAAAAUGCACAUGCUGUGAGCUCGAUGAGUAGGGCGGGACACGUGGUAUCCUGUCUGAAUAUGGGGGGACCAUCCUCCAAGGCUAAAUACUCCUGACUGACCGAUAGUGAACCAGUACCGUGAGGGAAAGGCGAAAAGAACCCCGGCGAGGGGAGUGAAAAAGAACCUGAAACCGUGUACGUACAAGCAGUGGGAGCACAGAGCAAUCUGUGUGACUGCGUACCUUUUGUAUAAUGGGUCAGCGACUUAUAUUCUGUAGCAAGGUUAACCGAAUAGGGGAGCCGAAGGGAAACCGAGUCUUAACUGGGCGUUAAGUUGCAGGGUAUAGACCCGAAACCCGGUGAUCUAGCCAUGGGCAGGUUGAAGGUUGGGUAACACUAACUGGAGGACCGAACCGACUAAUGUUGAAAAAUUAGCGGAUGACUUGUGGCUGGGGGUGAAAGGCCAAUCAAACCGGGAGAUAGCUGGUUCUCCCCGAAAGCUAUUUAGGUAGCGCCUCGUGAAUUCAUCUCCGGGGGUAGAGCACUGUUUCGGCAAGGGGGUCAUCCCGACUUACCAACCCGAUGCAAACUGCGAAUACCGGAGAAUGUUAUCACGGGAGACACACGGCGGGUGCUAACGUCCGUCGUGAAGAGGGAAACAACCCAGACCGCCAGCUAAGGUCCCAAAGUCAUGGUUAAGUGGGAAACGAUGUGGGAAGGCCCAGACAGCCAGGAUGUUGGCUUAGAAGCAGCCAUCAUUUAAAGAAAGCGUAAUAGCUCACUGGUCGAGUCGGCCUGCGCGGAAGAUGUAACGGGGCUAAACCAUGCACCGAAGCUGCGGCAGCGACGCUUAUGCGUUGUUGGGUAGGGGAGCGUUCUGUAAGCCUGUGAAGGUGUGCUGUGAGGCAUGCUGGAGGUAUCAGAAGUGCGAAUGCUGACAUAAGUAACGAUAAAGCGGGUGAAAAGCCCGCUCGCCGGAAGACCAAGGGUUCCUGUCCAACGUUAAUCGGGGCAGGGUGAGUCGACCCCUAAGGCGAGGCCGAAAGGCGUAGUCGAUGGGAAACAGGUUAAUAUUCCUGUACUUGGUGUUACUGCGAAGGGGGGACGGAGAAGGCUAUGUUGGCCGGGCGACGGUUGUCCCGGUUUAAGCGUGUAGGCUGGUUUUCCAGGCAAAUCCGGAAAAUCAAGGCUGAGGCGUGAUGACGAGGCACUACGGUGCUGAAGCAACAAAUGCCCUGCUUCCAGGAAAAGCCUCUAAGCAUCAGGUAACAUCAAAUCGUACCCCAAACCGACACAGGUGGUCAGGUAGAGAAUACCAAGGCGCUUGAGAGAACUCGGGUGAAGGAACUAGGCAAAAUGGUGCCGUAACUUCGGGAGAAGGCACGCUGAUAUGUAGGUGAAGUCCCUCGCGGAUGGAGCUGAAAUCAGUCGAAGAUACCAGCUGGCUGCAACUGUUUAUUAAAAACACAGCACUGUGCAAACACGAAAGUGGACGUAUACGGUGUGACGCCUGCCCGGUGCCGGAAGGUUAAUUGAUGGGGUCAGCGCAAGCGAAGCUCUUGAUCGAAGCCCCGGUAAACGGCGGCCGUAACUAUAACGGUCCUAAGGUAGCGAAAUUCCUUGUCGGGUAAGUUCCGACCUGCACGAAUGGCGUAAUGAUGGCCAGGCUGUCUCCACCCGAGACUCAGUGAAAUUGAACUCGCUGUGAAGAUGCAGUGUACCCGCGGCAAGACGGAAAGACCCCGUGAACCUUUACUAUAGCUUGACACUGAACAUUGAGCCUUGAUGUGUAGGAUAGGUGGGAGGCUUUGAAGUGUGGACGCCAGUCUGCAUGGAGCCGACCUUGAAAUACCACCCUUUAAUGUUUGAUGUUCUAACGUUGACCCGUAAUCCGGGUUGCGGACAGUGUCUGGUGGGUAGUUUGACUGGGGCGGUCUCCUCCUAAAGAGUAACGGAGGAGCACGAAGGUUGGCUAAUCCUGGUCGGACAUCAGGAGGUUAGUGCAAUGGCAUAAGCCAGCUUGACUGCGAGCGUGACGGCGCGAGCAGGUGCGAAAGCAGGUCAUAGUGAUCCGGUGGUUCUGAAUGGAAGGGCCAUCGCUCAACGGAUAAAAGGUACUCCGGGGAUAACAGGCUGAUACCGCCCAAGAGUUCAUAUCGACGGCGGUGUUUGGCACCUCGAUGUCGGCUCAUCACAUCCUGGGGCUGAAGUAGGUCCCAAGGGUAUGGCUGUUCGCCAUUUAAAGUGGUACGCGAGCUGGGUUUAGAACGUCGUGAGACAGUUCGGUCCCUAUCUGCCGUGGGCGCUGGAGAACUGAGGGGGGCUGCUCCUAGUACGAGAGGACCGGAGUGGACGCAUCACUGGUGUUCGGGUUGUCAUGCCAAUGGCACUGCCCGGUAGCUAAAUGCGGAAGAGAUAAGUGCUGAAAGCAUCUAAGCACGAAACUUGCCCCGAGAUGAGUUCUCCCUGACCCUUUAAGGGUCCUGAAGGAACGUUGAAGACGACGACGUUGAU
rnacentral:rRNA from 1 species